rnacentral:rRNA from 1 species
UACAUGCAAGUCGAACGGUGAAGCAGAGCUUGCUCUGUGGAUCAGUGGCGAACGGGUGAGUAACACGUGAGUAACCUGCCUUUAGCUCUGGGAUAACCCCGGGAAACCGGGGCUAAUACCGGAUACGACCAAUCAAGACAUCUUGUGUUGGUAGAAAGUUUUUCGGCUAAAGAUGGACUCGCGGCCUAUCAGCUUGUUGGUGAGGUAACGGCUCACCAAGGCGACGACGGGUAGCCGACCUGAGAGGGUGUACGGCCACACUGGGACUGAGACACGGCCCAGACUCCUACGGGAGGCAGCAGUGGGGAAUUUUGCGCAAUGGACGAAAGUCUGACGCAGCGACGCCGCGUGAGGGAUGAAGGUCUUCGGAUUGUAAACCUCUUUCAGUAGGGAAGAAGCGAAAGUGACGGUACCUAAAGAAGAAGCACCGGCUAACUAUGUGCCAGCAGCCGCGGUAAUACAUAGGGUGCAAGCGUUGUCCGGAAUUAUUGGGCGUAAAGAGCUCGUAGGUCGUUUGUCGCGUCGAUUGUGAAAAUCUGAGGCUCAACCUCAGACCUGCAGUCGAUACGGGCAAACUAGAGUGUGGUAGGGGAGACUGGAAUUCCUGGUGUAGCGGUGGAAUGCGCAGAUAUCAGGAGGAACACCAAUGGCGAAGGCAGGUCUCUGGGCCAUAACUGACACUGAGGAGCGAAAGUGCGGGGAGCGAACAGGAUUAGAUACC